UCCAGUUUAGGUCCUUGCCUCUCAUCUUCCAAUCAAUGUGCUACUGUGAAGAACCUGGAUUAGUCUUCUUGAUUACUACCCAAUAGAAGACAUUGGAAGGAAAUUUCUAACCAUCAAAGAAGCAAGAUUUUGAAACAGCUUUUUGAGGGGACAAGGAAAAAAACUAGUCACCUUUAAAAAAGACUCAUAAUUAGCCUAAAUAAAGGAGUAUUAAUCUUGCAAUAAAAGAAGACAAAAUG